rnacentral:rRNA from 1 species
GACGAACGCUGGCGGCGUGCUUAACACAUGCAAGUCGAACGGUGAAGGGACCAGCUUGCUGGUUCUGGAUGAGUGGCGAACGGGUGAGUAACACGUGAGUAACCUGCCCCCUUCUUCUGGAUAACCGCAUGAAAGUGUGGCUAAUACGGGAUAUUCUGGGUCUGUCUCAUGGCGGGCCCGGGAAAGAUAUUGCUUCGGUGGGGGAUGGGCUCGCGGCCUAUCAGCUUGUUGGUGGGGUGAUGGCCUACCAAGGCGGUGACGGGUAGCCGGCCUGAGAGGGUGGACGGUCACACUGGGACUGAGACACGGCCCAGACUCCUACGGGAGGCAGCAGUGGGGAAUAUUGCACAAUGGGCGCAAGCCUGAUGCAGCGACGCCGCGUGAGGGAUGGAGGCCUUCGGGUUGUAAACCUCUUUCGCCAGUGAAGCAGGCCUGCUCCUUGUGGGUGGGUUGACGGUAGCUGGAGAAGAAGCGCCGGCUAACUACGUG